UGCGGUUAAAAAGCUCGUAGUUGGAUCUCGGCAAGUAGAGGGCGGUAUGCUUCGUAGCAUUACUGCCCUAUUACUUGUAGUUUUGCCAGAGGUUCCUGGGUGCUCUUAAUCGAGUGUCUAGGGAUGCUGGCAGGUUUACUUUGAAAAAAUUAGAGUGCUCAAAGCAGGCUAUUACGCUUGAAUAUUCGUGCAUGGAAUAAUAGAAUAGGAAGUUGUUUCUAUUUUGUUGGUUUUCGGAAAUCGACUUAAUGAUUAAUAGGGACAGUCGGGGGCAUUUGUAUUCAAACGACAGAGGUGAAAUUCUUGGACCGUUUGAAGACAAACUACUGCGAAAGCAUUUGCCAAGAAUGUUUUCAUUAAUCAAGAACGAAAGUUAGAGGUUCGAAGGCGAUUAGAUACCGCCCUAGUUCUAACCAUAAACGAUGCCAGCUAGCGAUCUGAGGACGUUUUUUUUGUAGUCUCCUCAGGAAGCUUCCGGGAAACCAAAGCGUGUGGGUUCCGGGGGAAGUAUGGUUGCAAAGCUGAAACUUAAAGGAAUUGACGGAAGGGCACCACCCAGGAGUGGAGCCUGCGGCUUAAU
rnacentral:rRNA from 1 species